GGNGGNGGGCUUGCCGCUUACACAUGCAGGUCGAGCGCCCCGCAAGGGGAGCGGCAGACGGGUGAGUAACGCGUGGGAACGUACCAUUUGCUACGGAAUAACUCAGGGAAACUUGUGCUAAUACCGUAUGUGCCCGAAAGGGGAAAGAUUUAUCGGCAAAUGAUCGGCCCGCGUUGGAUUAGCUAGUUGGUGGGGUAAAGGCCUACCAAGGCGACGAUCCAUAGCUGGUCUGAGAGGAUGAUCAGCCACACUGGGACUGAGACACGGCCCAGACUCCUACGGGAGGCAGCAGUGGGGAAUAUUGGACAAUGGGCGCAAGCCUGAUCCAGCCAUGCCGCGUGAGUGAUGAAGGCCCUAGGGUUGUAAAGCUCUUUCACCGGUGAAGAUAAUGACGGUAACCGGAGAAGAAGCCCCGGCUAACUUCGUGCCAGCAGCCGCGGUAAUACGAAGGGGGCUAGCGUUGUUCGGAUUUACUGGGCGUAAAGCGCACGUAGGCGGGCUAAUAAGUCAGGGGUGAAAUCCCGGGGCUCAACCCCGGAACUGCCUUUGAUACUGUUAGUCUUGAGUAUGGUAGAGGUGAGUGGAAUUCCUGGUGUAGCGGUGA
rnacentral:rRNA from 1 species